rnacentral:rRNA from 1 species
AAGACCUUGCGCUUUUGGAGCGGCCGAUGUCUGAUUAGCUUGUUGGUGAGGUAAAAGCUUACCAAGGCUUCGAUCAGUAGCUGGUCUGAGAGGACGGCCAGCCACACUGGGACUGAGACACGGCCCAGACUCCUACGGGGGGCAGCAGUGGGGAAUUUUGGACAAUGGGGGCAACCCUGAUCCAGCCAUGCCGCGUGAGUGAAGAAGGCCUUCGGGUUGUAAAGCUCUUUCAGCCGGAACGAAACGGUUACGGUUAAUACCCGUGACUACUGACGGUACCGGAAGAAGAAGCACCGGCUAACUACGUGCCAGCAGCCGCGGUAAUACGUAGGGUGCAAGCGUUAAUCGGAAUUACUGGGCGUAAAGCGUGCGCAGGUGGUUUUGUAAGUCAGAUGUGAAAUCCCCGGGCUUAACCUGGGAACU